rnacentral:lncRNA from 1 species
ACCCCAUGGCAUGGUCAUGGUACCAUAGAUUUCCUGGUUGUUGGUUGUUUGGGUAGUGAUAGGUCUUCUUGGUCCAGGUGGGUCCUCUCUUUUUGAACUGUGCAGUGAACCAUGAAUUUGCGUUUCCGUCGCUCUCGGGCUCGUGGAUCCCGCCGUGGAGGUGAACCACCGUGGGGAUGCCGCCGGAGGUGUUGGGUGAGGCGACGGGGAUAGAUGGAUCCCACGGGAGGAUGUGGUGUGGGGGGAGUUUAUUUUGCCACCUCACGUGGGUCCCAACUCCGUGGAGGGCCUCGAUGGUGGGACCAGGUACUGAUGCGGUGCGUUUGGUUAAUCCAUAAGCAUAAACCCUUGUUGGAAGGAGAUCCUUGUGGAAUUUCUAAAAAACAAAAGGGACAUUCUAAAUUUUUUUUGAAAGAAAAUAAAUAUUAUUUCUAAUUGAAACUUGAAAUAGAAAUAAUUAGAUACUAAAAAAAGACUUGCUACUAAGUAAUUAUGUUUUAAUUGUUUGUGCAAUUAAACUUACAUAUAAAUGUUGUUUUGAGUUUUGGAAAGUCAAAAAAUAUAUUAAAUGAAGAAUAACAUAGUGGAGAAUGUGUUAUCAAUGUCAUUUAAUGAUAAUACACUGUCAAUACUGUCAAUGUAAACAUUUUUUACAGAAACAUCAAAUCAUGAGUCGCCAAAUCAGAAAUUAACUUUUAAAUUUAAUUAAAAUAAAAUUUAACAUUAAUGAUUUUAAUUUAAAUACGUGGCAUUCAAUUAUUGGACGUUUGUGUAAAAAUAUUUUUCACUGACUAUGCACAAUCAUUUUUUUAGAAAGCUAAAACUAUGCACAACCAUAUUAAACUUUAUUUGUAAACGUGUCAACAAACUUAUAGGGAACGGGAAAAAAUAUAAUAAUAUCAUUAUAUUGUCUAAGUCAAAGAAAAUAGGUCAUCACUCUAUAUCUAUACAAGUUUAUAUGGUUAUAUAAUUAUAUAGUCUAACAUGCUUAAACAUAUAAAUAAGCAAUAAGUAUAUAAUUUUUAGAUAUUAUAAUAGAAAUUCAAUGUAGAAAUAAUAAAAUAAAAUUUAAAAUUAUUUAUACAGGUCGUUUUGUUGUGCUUACAAAGCCUUAUGAGUGGCCUAGGGUUGAUAUUUUUAACUAAUUAUUUUUUUUCAAAAAGUCUUGGCAUUUUCUAUUUAUUAAUUUGACAUUACCUUAGCCUGAUGUAGAGGCCAUAGGCCACUGUCAACAGCUUAACCUACUUUUUUUUUAAUGAGCAAACAAUUGCAUUAAAGGGAGUACAAUGAGUACUCAACCCAUAAUACAUAAAGAAUCAAAACAAAGAGACAACAAUCAUAGAAAAAGAAAAACAACCCAAGAAAAUACAGAGUACAAAAGCAUGAAAGAAAAGCAUUCUCCUUCUCUAUCAGCGCCUCUACACGUAAAAAAAGCCAACAAAAGGAAACAGGGCAAGGCUUCGAUCCAGGAACCACUUACAUCCCUAGAGAGAAGUAACCACACAUAGCUUUUACUUCUGUCAAUUAUAAUUUUGCUUUUAUCACGUUUUGUUUUAUGUGUAUAUACAUGUCCUCAAAUGGUAACUUUGAUGAUAAGAGUUGUAUGACAUAUGAGUUGGGUUGGGGAAGUUUCGGAUCAUUCCCUAGCAAGUGCAAUUUUACUCUCUGAUAUAAAAAAAAUGUCUUUUACUAAAUAAAUUAACAAAAAUUAUAAUUAAGUUUGCACCUUUUGAUGGAAAGAAGUGAAAAAAAUAUUAAAAACAAGGAAAAAAACAACAUUCUUUCAACAAGUGAAAUAUAAUGCUAUCCUAGAAUUAAGCACAGGUGACAGGCCAUUGGAUGGAAAGUACACAAAUAAUUUACAUCUUAAAUGAAUUAUUUAAUCAGAAUUUGUACUGUAAUCAAGAUCAUUAGAAAAAGCCAAACUAAAUUUAUGUCUAGCAAGAGGAGAGUGGAUUUUUUUUUUUGCAUGAAUGAUACAAUAAUUUGGAAGAAAACAAACAUACCCAUUUCUUCUUGAACAUGCUAAUCUUGAGAGACUUUGAUAUGGGGACUCCAUUGGAAACCUUGUAGCCAAGGAUUUUGGGCAUAUGAGGAAGCUCAUCCACAAACAUCUCCAACUUGGAUGCAUCUAACAGUUUAUCUUCUGAAGCAGCUAAGGAGGAGGUAAGAAGAGCAUUUAGAAGAGAUAGAAUUAGAGGGAAUAGUUUGAGGAGCAAUGUUGCUCUCUCCAUGGCUGUGGCUAGUGGCUACCUUCAAAAUCAGAACUCAGUGGUUUCAGAGAGAAGGGAAAGUAGUGGACUAUAUAUAGGGAGAGACAAGAAGGGUGUGUGUGGGACGAAGAUUGUGUCAACGAAUUGAAAGUGGCUAUUAUUUGCCACUAGCACAAGAAAUAUCACAAUUAAUCAUAAAGGUAGCUAUUUGCAACUUCACAAUCGGGAAGAGAUCAGAGGACAGAGGCCAACCAACAGAGAAAGACAUAUAGAAAACAUGAUGGAGAAAGAGAGUGAUCGAUAUUGGUUUUCUUUUCUUUGCUCUGUAUGAAUUAAUUAGCUAUUAGAUCUAUCGUGUUUUCACCGCGUAUCAUGAACUGUUGAAGUUUCCAUGUAGGAAAUGAUUUUAACCUCAUUUCUACAUAUAUUUACAUUAAUCUAACACUUACCCUAACACUUUUCUUAAAUCCCAUUUGGCUCGCUUACACAUUAUAUCCCACUUUUAGUUUUGUAAUCAUCACAAAUCAUAUAUCUCAUUUCUAUCUCUUUUGUGAGUUUUGAUUCAUUCAAAUUUUGCUUUCCUUUCUUUUCAUUAAUUUUCAUCUGUUUUCUUUUUUCUUAAUAAUUUUUCAUCUAUUUUCUCUCUUAUUUUUUAAUUACAUCAUCAUUGAUCAUAUUUUAAAUUUCUCUAGGAGCUUCUUUCUAUUUUAGUGUAAAGUGUGUAUGAUGUGUGAAUAAAAUACCUUUUAAUUAAGGCAAAUUCUGUGGUACCCUGAAAUUCUUUUGGGUACGGUACCCCGACUAGAUGAAAUUGUGAAAUUGAAGGGUAGAGAAAGAGAGACAAUUAGACAUUUUAACUUUUGUUGGAAUCUUAGACAUCAUGCUGGUUGUUGCAGCUCUUUUUAAGUCAGAAUCUAGUGGUGGAAGUGAAAAUGUAUGCGAUGUAAGAACAAGAGAGUUAUCAACCACAAUAAUGGUGAGAUAUGAAAAUUGGUGUCUGGCGAACAACAAGAUAAUGGGAUAAUCUACUAAAACGCUCAUGAAUGAUGGUGCUAGAAGCUUUUAGAAGUUAACAAUUUUGGAGAUAAAUAAGUUUUACAUCAUUUAAGGUACCGUACCCUCAAUUAAAUUAAGAUACCACAGCAAGCACCUUUAAUUAAUCUCAUGUCUCUUUGUGUGUGGGCCAAUAUAAUUCACUACGUACUUUCCCUUCUCUGAAACCCUGCCCUGAGUUUUGCCUUUAAUUUGGUCCCCUUCUUGCUGAAUUUCUAGCUACGCCAUUGUCUGCUUGCACAAGUGCACAACAAUGUUUAUCAACUUGUGAAGGACGACGUCUUCGGUGGGUCAAUUAAAUACUGACUCACCGUGGUACACUUAAAAUUUUGGACUGUAAUGACAAUUUUGCCCUUAGCUUAUUUUUUUUCUGGACAAUAAUAUCCUCUCAUUUUCUCCACCGCCUCACUAGCACUCUCUGGUAUUGUGCUACACCUGAGCAGACCUGGAAUUUUCUUCACCCACACAGCUCCUACAAAAAUUUACUACCGUCAUCUUCUUCACACACACAGCCCCUUCAAAAUUGAGAUUUUUUUUCCCAAAAUAAGAAUAAGUUUAUGAAAGAAACCCCAAAAAAAUUACAAUUGAGUGAAGAAAAUCUCAGAUCUGCAAGUUCCAGAGAUGGCUGCACUGUCAACUUUACUCACAAAUGGGUCGAUCUCAACCCAAACAAGGGAGAAGACAGAGGCCAAAAGCACUGACCACAGAAUAACAACGGUUGGAGUACGAUUUUGUUUAUGAAAGAAACCCACAAAAAAUAGAGGAACCCAGACAAAGCAUAUAAGAAGAGGAAGGACCUCACGAACAUGUUCAUCAUUAGAUUAGAAACGUAGACCAAUUGAUUCAAGUGUUAAUUUGACCCAAUCCUGUUCUUGUUCUAAUGUCUUGCUGCCUCAUCCCUUUUAGCGUUUGAUUCAAGUUCUAAUUUGGCCCCUUCAAAUAUUUACCUGAAGCUCUGCCACUGGAUGUGGUUGUCGGGAGGAAAUGAUUUUGCAGCACACUAGUGACUGAGGUAGGAGGAGACAGCCUCAGCUGUGAAUGGUGAGGGUGAAUGGGUAAUAUGUGUAUUGGAUAAUUUUGUAAUUUAACAUUUGAAUCUCAAUCAAUCUCAUCUGUUCAAUUUAAAAUUAAUAUAUCCAAUGGCUAUUUUUAAACUGCACCACGGUGUGACAGUUUUUGACUGUACCACCGAAGCCAACACCUCUCUUCCCUCGAGCUUCUUGUUAUGGUCAAAAUAGAGUUUAGAAAUGGUUGGGUCGAGCCAACUGUCUAACAUAUAUCAGUUUUAGUAAUUAUACACAUUUAAAAUUGCUUUGAAGUGAUAUAAUCCAAACGAAAUUCCUUUUAUCAAACUUAUACCUUUAAGAUAAAAUAUCCAAACAUAAAUCACAUUACCACAAAUUCACAUUAAUCUAGUAAGUAAGAGAGAAAGGAGAAGAGAGAUAUGAGAAAUAGUCUGAUGGAGAUGCUCUGCUAGGUGCAGACUCCCUUGUAUUUAUAUUAUUAGGUUUAGAGUGUUGAACAAGUAUACAUGUGGGUCUGGCCCAUGGACUCUUAACUAUGAUGGGCAUCCAAAUAUUCAUAACACUCCCCCUUGGAUGACCAUCCCUUAAGAAUGUGCCUAAUUAAAACCUUACUAGAAAAAACCCAGUGUGGGAUAAAAACCUAGUGAAGGAAAAAGAGUACAUCAUUCUAUAGUUCGUCUUUGUACAUUGCCUCAUUAAAAACCCUACCAUGUAAAACCCAAUGGGAAAAAAACACUGUUAAGGAAAAAAGAGUGCAAUGCAUUUUAAUUGAGAUCUUUGAGCCGACGAACUCUCAUAUUCCGCACAAGCUUUUCAAAUGUUGUAGUUGGAAGAGCCUUCGUAAAUAAGUUUUCCAAAUUAUCCUUUGAACGAACUUGUUGGAUGUCUACGUCACCAUUCUUUUGUAGAUCAUGAGUGAAGAAGAGCCUCGGUGAUAUUUGCUUUGUCCAUCUCCCAUGAUGUAUCCUUCUUUUGAUUGAGUAGUGCAUGUAGUAUUAUCUUCAUAUAUAGUUGUUGGCGGCAUUUUUCAAGAGGACAAAUCACCAAUAUCAAGUACGCAUUGAAUCACGAAUCUCAGCCAAACGUAUUCUUGUCUUGCCUCAUGUAAUGCUAAUAUUCCUGCAAGGUUAGCUGAGGUGGCUAUCAUAGUUUCUUUCACAGAUCUCCAUGAAAUGGUUGUUCCUCCACAUGUAAACAAGUAACCUGUUUGAGAUAUUUAGACAAAUAUCCAGCAUCUGCAUAACCAAUUAGAUUAAGCUUGGACAUAAAGGGAAAAAAUAAACUCAUAUCUAAUGUGCCUUUAAGAUAACGAAACACUUGUUUUCCAUUCCAAUGUCUUUGUGUAGGUGAAGAACUAUAUCUUGCUAAUAAGUUAAUAGCAAAUGAUAUAUCAAGUCGAGUAUGACUAGCAAGAUACAAUAAUGCUUUGAUAGCACUAAGAUAUGGUACUUCAGGAUCAAGUAAUUCUUCAUUCUUUUCUCAAGGUCUAAAAGGAUCUUUAUUUACAUUUAAUGACCUUAAAGUCAAUAGAGUACACAGUGGACAUGAUUUGUCCAUAUAGAAUCAUUUUAGUACCUUUGCAAUAUAAGUCCUUUGGUACAUAAAUACCUCAUCCUUUAGAUACUCAAUUGAUAAGGCUAGACAAAAGUUUCAUUCUCAACUCUUUUAUCUCAAAUUCUUUCUUUAACAAAUCUACAAUUUGUGUGAGCUCUUCUAGAGUCUCAAUAAAUCAUUGUCAUAAACAUUAAUUAUGGCAUAAACAAUCUCAUAUCUCAUCAUAAAUAUGUAUGAGUUUGUUGGGUCAUUUUGUGACCGUCCUUAAGAAAAUAAUCAUCUAGAUUGCCUCAAUCUAGUAAUUUGUUCAUUGUUGAGAACAUGAAUUGUGUGCUUUAGGCAUCUUACAAUCUUCAAGGAGUUUUAUAGAGAUAUCAAUCUCAAGUGAGUCAUACCAAUAAGUUGUAACUCCAAGUAUCCACCACGAUUGUCACUUGUUUGUCUUAAAUAUGACAACAUUAUUUCACUUUACUACAAAGACUCUUUAAGCCUUAUCGUCUUUAUACCUUUAGGGUAUAGAUAUGAGGUCCAAAGACCCUUAAAUUCAACAAAUGAAUUGCUUCUUUCUAUUUAUGGCCAAUCACACCCAUUCAUUUUCGGGUUCAAGAUUCUCGCACAUAUUUCUAAUAUUGAGCGCUACUUCAUCAUGUUGACAAUUCUUUAUGUUCUUGGUUCCUUGUGUUAACUUGUAGAGACAAAAUCAUAUGAGAUCUCUUAAAUAAAUAAUUACAGGUACCUGAACCUCUUCAGGAGGAAUAAACAUUUUUGUAGUCUCUACACUUUUCAAGAUAGUUUGCCUCCUCAACAAGACCAUCAUCCUUCUCUAGGAUAUAUAUUUUUGAACCAAGUUUUAGGCAUGCCUUAACCUAAUAAUAAUGACAAAUUUUCCAACUGGGAUAUCAAGUUAGAGAAGGGUAUUUGCAGCAUAUAAGGAAUUUAAUAAUUCCUUUUAGGUCAGAGAAUGCAUCUUUUGAACUUCUGGUUCAUAGUGCGAGUAUACAUAUGCAUUCUUUACAAAUUUUCAGAGCUGCUUAAUUUCCUCUCCCCCCAAUGCUGAGAAACAACAAGUAAGAUAUAAAAUAUAUAUAUCGGUACUGGCUCAAAUUGAUUACAUAAUCUCAGCUUUCCUUGUGGUCCCACCUUAGUGCGUUGUGGUGGAGCGAUUCAAAAUAUAUAACGCACAUUGAAAAUUCUUAGAUGAGAGAUAUUAGGUUCCUGACCAUGAACCGAUUGCAAUUGGGAGAAUUCUAAUGAAUUGUUGGCUUGAUGCGUGUCAAUGCUGCUAAUUGCAAUAUCACAUGUCCAUAAAUAAGGAUAUUUGUUCUCAUAUGUAAUUGUCUAGCUAUAAAUAUGAGGCAUUUAAUUAAACAAAUCAGCUAGAUAAUUUGAAUACGAACAUGUGCAACUAGAUAUUCAAAAUCAUGUCAUUUACCAACUUGAUCAAGGUUGGAAUUUUCACUCUAUCAAUAUUGAGAGUUGAUGACAUAUAUUUGGUCAUUUAGUCGAUGCAUCGAUAAAUUUAUGAAAUACUUAAAUGACCCAUAAAAAGAGUGAAUAUGUGCACAUGUAUCGCAUCUAAUAUACUCAAGAGUAUGCGGGAUUCAAACCCAUAUAUUUAACCAAUUAUUAAUUGGUAAUGAGAACAAGAUAUAAGAAUUCAUUAUAUUGAAGAAUCUUUAGGUUCUUCGAUGGGGACUCAUAUGAAUUCAUAUACUUUCGCAUCAUAAGACUCGGGAUGGUCUAACCGGUCAUGCAUGCCAAUCACAUUCAAUUUGUUCCAUAUAUAGAACUUUAUCAUUCAAAAUAAUACUUCAAUGUUUGAAGUAAAAUUUUCUGGCAUUUUAAAUCCUUCAAGGAUUUUGAUAUUUUCAACCCAUAGUUUAUCGUUACAUCAAUUAGAUGUAAAUAAAGUCCUUCAAGACUUUCAAAUUAAUAAGGAAUAUGUGUACAUGACAAUUGUGUCACAAGAUGAGUAUUACAUCUCAUAAUUUCCUUUAACUCAUAUCCAUCGCAUGGAAAACACAAUAGGUUUGACAUAUUUACAUGUCUGGAUUACUACCAAUCCAAGCAAUAUCUAACAACAGUUUUUAUAUUGCUCCUUAUCUUUCUAUACUUUGAUACCAAUUUAGGGGAAGAUAAAGGGAGCAGAAAGCAUGAGAUCAUGCGCCAAUGUGAGACUCUAACUCACACUUCAAUUCUCAACAUUCUCCCCCUAAGUGUGAGUCACAACCAUAUUAUUAUGCUCCCCCUCAACAAAUUAUUAGCAAUUGCACUGCAAUUCGCUUCAUCACCGUGUCAAUAGGACAUGUUGUCUGACCACCACAUUGUGUCAAGAAGACUUUCAAUAUGAGGAGUCAUUAUCAUGGUCACAUCAACCAUUAAUUCAAAUACCAUUUUUAGGAUUGCAACCGCAUCUGGGGUUGUUUAUUCAAAAGAAAAUAUAAGAUUAUUGAUCAAUAGAUCUUUUCAAGAGUGUCAAUGAUCCAUUUUAAGAUAUUGCUUUGAAAUUUCAUAGGCUUCUUCUAGAGAGCCACCACAAAAGUUUCAUUUCAUGAAACAAUACCAUAUAUGCCAUUGGAUGUCCUUCAGGGACAUUUGACCAUGCGUUGAUCUAAAUGAUGACAACUUUUGCCAUGUUUGUUGAAAUAUUCACUUCAGGAAAUAUCUCAAUCAUUCCUUAAUAUAGCUACUUCUGUAGCUUACAUGAUAGACACAUGUCUUUCAAAUCAACUUGAUCAUUUAUAAUGAUAACGAUAUAGUUCUUCAGGAACUACAAUAUAAAUAUUGACAAAAGACUAUAGAGUCUUCUUCUUUUGUUUAUUUCAAAAGGCUAAGUUUGUUUAACUAUUCCUUUAUGAUACAAGAAGGAAGUCCAAAUAUAUGUAAAUAAAUUUGUUCAAAAUAAUUAAACUACAAUGCUUCUGGAUUGUAGGCUAUGAAUCUUCAUGAUUCUUUCAAAAUAAUUCAACUACAGUGCUUCCGGACUGUAAGGCUAUGAAUCUUCUGAUUCAUGCAUAAUAAUUCAAUUACAGUGCUUCUGGACUGUAAGGCUAUGAAUCUUCCUGAUUCAUGCAAAAUAAUUCAAUUACAGUACUUCUGGACUGUAAGGCUAUGAAUCUUCAUGAUUCAUGCAUAAUAAUUCAAUUACAGUGCUUCUGGACUGUAAGGCUAUGAAUCUUCCUGAUUCAUGCAAAAUAAUUCAAUUACAGUGCUUCUGGACUGUAAGGCUAUGAAUCUUCAGGAUUCAUGCUCAGUACUAUGGUACUUCUGGACUCAUAGAUAAAUGAUUCGAAGAAGAAUGAGAAGAAAGAAGAAGGAGAAUUUUUUUUUGUAAAAUUAUAACCUUUCACAUGGAUGUGGUACUUACUCUGGAAGUGAUACUUACUCUUUCACUUAUGAAUUAUGAAUUAUGAAGAGACUAUCGUGCUGAUAACGUGUUGUGAAUAAAGCGUAGCAAGUAAGAGAGAAAGGAGAAGAGAGAUAUGAGAAAUAGUCUGAUGGGGAUGCUCUGCUAGGUGCAGACUCCCUUGUAUUUAUAUUAUUAGGUUUAGAAUGUUGAACAAGUAUACAUGUGGGCCUGACCCAUGGACUCUUAACUAUGAUGGACAUCUAAAUAUUCAUAACAAAAUUCACAUUACUACAAACUCACAUUGAUUUAAACUCAGUUUUGCAAACCCACAUUAAUUUGAACCAUAUUUUGCAAACUUAAAUCCAAAACCACACUUCAUAUUUCCUUCGCCUACUCUAAUUCCAGGUGAAAGUUAACUCUACAAAUUUCUCCAUGUACUUCAGAAACAUUAUAGGAAUUUAUUUGGAAACCUAUAUUGCAUUUAGACUUGGUUUAGUAGAGGGAGACUUUGAUAGUGAGAGAUGGGAAUAGAAAGUUAAGGGAUGAGGAAGCAUGUGUGUUUGGUGAGUGAGAGAUAGAGGAGAGAAAAAGUGGUGGGACCCACCAUUUUUAUUAUCUCUUCAAAUUGGCAAGAGAUGGACCGGUCUCUUUUUUUUUCGGGACAUUUCUAGCGGUCUAAGACCCCAGUACCCGCAUGAGACCGUUAGAAAGUAUUCCAUAUUAAAAAUAAUUAUUUUUAAUCUCAAAUCACCUUUUAUUGGUAGUUUGAGACCGAGAAAUUACAUUAUGACUGCCGGAAAGUAUUUUAGAUUAUAAAUAAUUAUUUUUAAACAAGUAAUAUUUUCUGUUCUAUAUCUCUCUUAUCUUUUUAUCAUACCAAACAACCUUUUAAUCCACUUUAUUUCUCAUAUAAUAUUUCUCUCUAAUUUAUUUAUCUCUUUUCUACUCUCUAUUAUCUGUCACUCUAUUCUCUACCAAAGAAAGGGUAAUUCUAAAAGGUUUACAUUGUUCGUGUGUUGGAUAAAUUACAUGCUUAUACAGUAUAAUUUCCAAUGCAUUUAUUUUGAAUAUAAUCACAGUAAUCCACUUGUUGAAUAAGUUUGAAUAACAUCAUUCUUAUGUAAAGGACUACUAUGUAGGAAAACAACUGGGACCGAGAGACAUGCAAUUCAUCUCCCAUUUCUCAUUCAUUUCAUUUAUGAGCACAAGUACGUACAAUUUUGGCACAGUACAUGCAUGCAUGUUAAUUCAUUAGGAGAUUGGUAAACAGUCCACCACUUGGGUCAAAGUCACACGGCGUAGUGAUUGGUGAUGAGCUGCAAAAUUAAUAAAUGAUAUUCAUACAUAUACGUAUAUGCUUCUGCUUUAUGUUUCUUAUUUUUACUAAUCUUUUCACAUUUUCGUCUCAGAAAGGAGAAAGACUCCACGUCUCCACCCUAUAUAUACAUAUUGUUCCCUAGAAAAAGAAUUAAUUAAAUUUCUAAAUGUAGCUAUAAUUGUUGAAAAGAUUUUGCAACUGAUGGAGCUUUUUUAAUAAAAACAAAAAAGCCAAGAUCUCAUGAUACCUCACCUAAUUAAAGAUGAUUAAUUACUUGAUGUCUUGAUCCUACGUACUGAUCAAUGACAGUUUCAACAUGUAUUUGGUAGUUGAACGUACAAUAUGAUAUAACUGAUGGUGAAGACUCUAAUGCUGUAGAAGUAAACAUCCUUGAGGACUAAAUCAACUUAUCAAGUCCCACCAUCGAUCAUGCAUAGUUUUAUUUUUGCUUUUUAAUCAAUCAUAAUUUAAGUCCCACCAUCCUGUUUAAUUUCUAGGGGAGUUGGGGGUUGAGGAAAUUUAAUUUGUACCGUAUAUAUCAUUGACAUUAUUUGACUCUUUAGAUACAUUCAGCUUUCAAAUGAUACAACACAUUCACGCGGUAUCACCAAUUAGAAUUAUUACAUUCACACUCAUAUUUUCUUUUAUUUGAUUUUCACUCAUUUUUUCUUUUUACUUUUUUCAUAUUCUAUUAAAUUUCUUCCUCUCGUGUAUUUCUAUUUCAUUCUGGAUGUAGAGUGGAUUUAAGGUGUGAAAGUACUUCAAAGUUGUGAUUUUUUUAGAGAAGCCAAAAGGCCUGUUGACCUUCUUGCUGAGACUAGUUCAAAAUGGUUUGCAAGAUAUUGGAUAGAGCUUUCCCUGCAGUUAGUGUUGAAAUGUUGAUAUUGUGUGACAUGCACUCUCAGUGUGGGAAUGUUGUGAUAGUUUCCUUUUCUUUGUUUGUUUUUAUUUAUUUAUAAGCACAGCAAUUUUAAUUAAACGAAACGGAAAUAGCAUGCGCUGGAAUGGAAUGGAACUAACAACAGGACAAGCUAGGGUGCUUCUCUUUUUGUUUGUUUGUUAUAUCUUGUUGCCCCUGAAUUUAGGAUUCGAGUACCCCAUUUGACAAAGAUGGAAGCACAACGACUUCUCUACUCUGUUUUUUUAUGCUAAAGAAAAUCUGUUUCUUUUUAAAUUUACAUUUUGAUUUCCUAAUGAUAUGCACAUAUCAUAGUAAAAAUAACAAGGACCAAAAAAUCAUAGUAAAAAUAACUUGGCGUGCAACUUCUUUACUAAAUCAUAACAAAACGCGCGGAUCCACUCCUUGCAACUAAGAUUAAUAGUAGUUCUAAUGCUCAAAUUACACCGAAGGAAAAUAUGUUCUUGAGACUCCCACCACAUCACAUCUGCAAAGAGCACAACAGUUUGGAAUUUGCACACCUUUCUUCACAAGAUUGGUUCUGCAAGGAAGAGAGUUAUGGAUAAAACAAAAUAGGAAAUGCUUCUUUUUGGGAGGCAUCUGCAAAUUCCACAAAGAUAGAUUUCCAAGGGAAAUCAUUCCCUAAUGAAGAACCAGUUUAAUUUGGUUACUGGUUUGAACCAAAUGCAGCCUCCUAUAAGCCUAUUUAACAGUAAAAUGACCAUCUUUUUAUUAAGGCAAAAAAAUGUAUAUGAAAUAUAGCACAAGCCACAAGGGGUGCUAUAACCCAUAUACAAAUAGACUACAUGAAGGUAAAUUGAAAAAAAAAACCCAGACAAAGGGAAAGGGGUGCUCAAGUUGCAGAACCCAGGAAGGAGUUCAAGCAAAAUGAAAAUGAUGCAGAAUUUCCCCUACAUGGGUCACGUGUUCCAGCACCAAGAUAUCCAUGAUUUCCCCACCAAUUCCAUAUAUUGUUGCUACAGAUCCAGCAAAGGGUAUCCCAAAACAGCCCCAACCCACCACAUUAAUAAUAGCAGCAAAUUUAUUAACAUAAUCUAUGCAACAUAUAUACUCAUUCAACUAGACUAUAUCUAUACGGCCAGCACCCACCUGGAGUCCAACUUUAAUCACAUUUGCAACUCUUCAGUAUAAUUGGACCAUAAUUCACACAGACAUCACAGAGGGUUUGCCAAGAGAUGUGAGCACGUGGUGACAACGCUCAAAGAAUUAGAUAAAAGAUUACAUGUAAUUUUGUGGAGGACAUUGUGGAUGUUGAUUACAACACAGCAGAUUACAACCAACCAACAUUGACAUAAACACUGUUUUGCAAACUCAAAUCCAAACACGCACUACAACACUUGGAAUUCUCAAAGACAAUGCUAUAAUUCUCAUUGCAUUUUAUUUAGCACAAUAUAGCACACACUUUCCUUCGUUACUGUCAAAUGUCAAUGAUCAAGUAUACAAAUUUCUGCAAAUUCCUAAUCUUUCGUCGCAUCUACUUAUUUUUGUAUAAAUCACCUAAUUAAGAUCUUUCUAACCUUUAAUAUUCCUUGCAAGAAAGUGACAACAUUCACAAUCAUGGUACCAUUUUUUUGGCUACCCUUGAUAAACUUCACUUGAUGAUUUUGAAGGGUCUCAUCAUGGCAUUGUCUUCAUGGUCCAAUACCUGCAUAUAGAUAUGAAUCUUAUGAUUAAUUAGUAGUGGUUUAUAAAAAUAAAAAUAAAAUGCAAAUAAAAAAAAGUAUAUGUACGUACAUGACAAUGAUACACAUAGCCAGGCUCUGCGGUUGCAUCAAACUCAUACGAUGCAUUGGUAUGUAUGUAACCAAAUCUCACCACAAUCCUCGUCACGAACCCUGGUCUCAUCUUGAACACAUUCUUCCACCCUUUCUCAUGACCUGGCACCUCCACCUUCUCCCCUCGUGCAUACUCACCCACGUGGCACUUAAUCGCAUCGUUGAUUUUCACCAUGCAAUCCUUAAACUCAUCCAAAUUAACCACCUUCGUCUGAUCCAACACCUUGAACAAACCCAAAUGAAUGUGAAGUGGGUGAUUAUCAUCCGUCAAGUUUAUCACAUUCCACACCUCAGUGGACCCCUCCUUCGGAGUCUCCGUAACCGGCGCAUCGUACGGUUUCCCAUUCAUGUACAAGUGAGUCGGCUCAUCCUCGCUGCUCGCGUACUCAUACAUAGCAAUGUACCGUGUACGCGACACACCGGAUGAUAAAUCGGUUAAAUCCACACCAGGGUAACUCAACAGUUUUUUCGGAAUCCGUGACGUGUCAACCUGCUUACCGGGUAAGAUGGUAAACUUCAUAACCUUACCGGUAAAUUCAUCAGUGGGAUCACCGGAAGGGUAAGGAUACGCUGCAUCGUUGGCCAGAAUAGCUACAUUGCUCUUUGACUCUGAAAAGUCAACAAUAACAUCAGUGAUCUCAGAUGGCCCCAGUAAGGUUUCAUUGGUGGUGAUCGGUUUCUCGAUGUAAGCGGAAUCAGAUGCCACGUGUAUGAAUCUCAGACCGUUGGUGAAGAAGAGUCUGAAGAAUCUCGCGUUGCUAGCGUUGAUGAUGCGGAAUCUGUAUCUACGGCGGCGAACGGUGAGGCGUGGCCAGGCUUUGCCGUUGACGAUGAUGGCGUCGCCGAAAUACUCCGGCUGCCACUGCGGGUGGAUAGAAGGGUUGUUUCCGGUGGAGUUCAUGUAGAUCGAACCGUCGCUCCGGAAGCUGCGAUCGAACAAGACCAACGGCCGAUCUAGCUCGUCGCCGGAGGGUAAUCCAAGCGGGGAUUCGACGGCAGGGUGGCGGAUGAUGUAGGCUCCGAUUAACCCGGCGAGGAGGUUGACCCGGGUCAACCCCAUGGCGUGGUCGUGGUACCAUAGAUUUCCUGGUUGUUGGUUGUUUGGAUAGUGAUAGGUCUUCUUGGUCCAGGUGGGUCCUCUCUUUUUGAACUGUGCGGUGAACCAUGAGUUCGCGUUUCCGUCGCUUUCGGGCUCGUGGAUCCCGCCGUGGAGGUGAACCACCGUGGGGAUGCCGCCGGAGGUGUUGGGUGAGGCGACGGGGAUAGAUGGGUCCCAUGGGAGAAUGUGUUUUGGAGGGAGAUGGUUUUGCCACGUCACGUGGGUCCCAACUCUGUAGUGGGCCUCGAUGGUGGGACCAGGUACUGAUGCUGUGCGUUUGGAUAAUCCGUA